CCUACGGGGGGCAGCAGUGGGGAAUAUUGGACAAUGGGCGGAAGCCUGAUCCAGCCAUGCCGCGUGGAGGAUUAAGGCCCUCUGGGUUGUAAACUCCUUUUAUCUGGGAAGAACCAUUCCGACUUGUCGGAACAUGACGGUACCAGAGGAAUAAGCACCGGCUAACUCCGUGCCAGCAGCCGCGGUAAUACGGAGGGUGCAAGCGUUAUCCGGAUUUACUGGGUUUAAAGGGUGCGUAGGCGGACUUAUAAGUCAGUGGUGAAAGCUCGGAGCUUAACUCCGGAACUGCCAUUGAUACUGUUAGUCUUGAAUUUGGUAGAGGUAGGCGGAAUGUAACAUGUAGCGGUGAAAUGCAUAGAUAUGUUACAGAACACCGAUUGCGAAGGCAGCUUGCUAUGCCAAUAUUGACGCUGAGGCACGAAAGCGUGGGUAGCGAACAGGCUUAGAUACCCGAGUAGUC
rnacentral:rRNA from 1 species